rnacentral:rRNA from 1 species
UACAGAGGUCUCAAGCGUUGUUCGGAUUCAUUGGGCGUAAAGGGCGCGUAGGCGGCGGGAUAAGUCGGGUGUGAAAUCUCAGGGCUCAACCCUGAAACUGCACUCGAUACUGCUCUGCUUGAGGACUGGAGAGGAGACUGGAAUUCACGGUGUAGCAGUGAAAUGCGUAGAUAUCGUGAGGAAGACCAGUGGCGAAGGCGGGUCUCUGGACAGUUCCUGACGCUGAGGCGCGAAGGCCAGGGGGAGCAAAACGGGG